GACCGUCGGACCGCCGAUCUUCGAACUCGCUCUGGAUCAUUUUCAAUCGCUCACCACGUCUGUGUCAGCAUAUUUGUUAAAGUAGUGAGAGUUGAAAUCCUUGUAUUUGAAGGACUUGAAAAUUGGUGGAUUAUGUUCAUCAGUGAUAGCUUGUGCUGGCUCGAUGUUACAAUCAUCCGAAUGAGCUACAAAAAAUGCAGCAGUUGUACGAGCAUGACUUGAAUUUGUCACAGCCCUAUGCUCAAC
rnacentral:lncRNA from 1 species